GUGGGAAGUUGAGCCAAGAAAUUCAUGUUAGACUUGUGGGAAUAGGUUUGUAAAGGGAGUGGAUAAGAAAAAGCUGGGAUUUCCCUCUGAAUUUGGCCCAUCUAGUUGGAUUGACUUCAGAGGCAGGUUUUUGUUGAGGGGGCACAUGUCAGAGUCGCCACUGUGGCUCACGUUCGGUGGCGGCACCAAGCUGGAAAUCAAACGGGCUGAUGCCAAGCCAACUGUUUCCAUCUUCCCACCAUCCAGAGAGCAGUUACAGGAUGGAACUGCCUCAGUCGUGUGCUUCCUGAACAACUUCUACCCCAAAGAAGCCAGUGUCAAGUGGGUAGUAGAUGGCAGUGAACAACGAAAUGGAAUUGUGAGCAGUACGACCGAUCAGGACAGCAAAGACAACACCUACAGCAUGAGCAGCACCCUCAUGUUGACCAAAGCAGAGUAUGAGAGUCACAGCUUGUAUGCCUGUGAGGUCACCCACAAGACGUCACCUACAGCCAUCGUCAAGAGCUUCAAGAAGGAUGAGUGUUAGAGCCGCAGGUCCUGAGUCACCACCACCUGCCCCUGGGACCCUGCUCUCUGGGACCAUCCUCAGUCUUCCCUCCUAAGGUCUUGGAGCUUUCUCCACAGACAACCUGCCACUGUUGCAGUCCUCAAAUCCCCUCCCUGCCUCAUCCCCCUCCCUUUCCUUGGCUUUUAUCAUGCUAAUAUUUGGGGAAGAUAUUGAAUAAAGUGAAUCUUUGCACUUGA